rnacentral:lncRNA from 1 species
UUGAGGUCAGAAAUCGAAGGUUCUUUUUGUUGCGAACUAUGUUGUUGACUUAUUCUUUUCAUUAUUGAGGCGAAAUUAUAUUCUUCCGAUUGUUUAUUGAUUGGAAGUGGUUUUGCCUUAUUUUUUGUUAAUGAAAUAAAUUGAGUAAUGACAGAUCUCUUUUCAUUCGGAUCAAAAAUCUUGUCAAUAAUGUCCAAUAUGAAAUUAUCUUCCUGUGCGAG